rnacentral:rRNA from 1 species
CUACACAUGCAAGUCGAACGCUGAAGCUUGGUGCUUGCACUGGGUGGAUGAGUGGCGAACGGGUGAGUAAUACGUGAGUAACCUGCCCUUGACUCUGGGAUAAGCCUGGGAAACUGGGUCUAAUACUGGAUACGACGGCGCAUCGCAUGGUGUGUUGUGGAAAGGGUUUUACUGGUUUUGGAUGGGCUCACGGCCUAUCAGCUUGUUGGUGGGGUAAUGGCUCACCAAGGCGACGACGGGUAGCCGGCCUGAGAGGGUGACCGGCCACACUGGGACUGAGACACGGCCCAGACUCCUACGGGAGGCAGCAGUGGGGAAUAUUGCACAAUGGGCGGAAGCCUGAUGCAGCGACGCCGCGUGAGGGAUGACGGCCUUCGGGUUGUAAACCUCUUUCAGCACGGAAGAAGCGAGAGUGACGGUACGUGCAGAAGAAGCGCCGGCUAACUACGUGCCAGCAGCCGCGGUAAUACGUAGGGCGCAAGCGUUGUCCGGAAUUAUUGGGCGUAAAGAGCUCGUAGGCGGUUUGUCGCGUCUGCUGUGAAAGCCCGGGGCUUAACCCCGGGUGUGCAGUGGGUACGGGCAGACUUGAGUGCAGUAGGGGAGACUGGAAUUCCUGGUGUAGCGGUGAAAUGCGCAGAUAUCAGGAGGAACACCGAUGGCGAAGGCAGGUCUCUGGGCUGUUAC